AAGAUGGGCCUGCGUCUGAUUAGCUAGUUGGUGGGGUAACGGCUCACCAAGGCGAUGAUCAGUAGCCGGACUGAGAGGUUGAUCGGCCACAUUGGGACUGAGACACGGCCCAGACUCCUACGGGAGGCAGCAGUGGGGGAUAUUGCACAAUGGAGGAAACUCUGAUGCAGCGACGCCGCGUGAGGGAAGAAGGUUUUCGGAUUGUAAACCUCUGUCUUCGGGGACGAAACAAAUGACGGUACUCGAGGAGGAAGCCACGGCUAACUACGUGCCAGCAGCCGCGGUAAUACGUAGGUGGCAAGCGUUGUCCGGAAUUACUGGGUGUAAAGGGAGCGCAGGCGGAACUGCAAGUUGGGUGUUUAAUCUACGGGCUCAACCCGUAUCAGCAUUCAAAACUGUGGUUCUUGAGUAAUGCAGAGGUAGGCGGAAUUCCCGGUGUAGCGGUGGAAUGCGUAGAUAUCGGGAGGAACACCAGUGGCGAAGGCGGCCUACUGGGCAUCAACUGACGCUGAGGCUCGAAAGCAUGGGUAGCAAACAGGAUUAGAUACCCUGGUAGUCCAUGCUGUAAACGAUGAUUACUAGGUGUGGGAAGAUUGACCCUUUCCGUGCCGCAGUUAACACAAUAAGUAAUCCACCUGGGGAGUACGACCGCAAGGUUGAAACUCAAAGGAAUUGACGGGGGCCCGCACAAGCAGUGGAGUAUGUGGUUUAAUUCGAAGCAACGCGAAGAACCUUACCAGGUCUUGACAUCCAACGACCGCCUAAGAGAUUAGGCUUUCCUUCGGGACGUUGAGACAGGUGGUGCAUGGUUGUCGUCAGCUCGUGUCGUGAGAUGUUGGGUUAAGUCCCGCAACGAGCGCAACCCUUGUCAUCAGUUGCUACGCAAGAGCACUCUGAUGAGACCG
rnacentral:rRNA from 1 species